rnacentral:rRNA from 1 species
AACGAACGCUGGCGGCAGGCUUAACACAUGCAAGUCGAACGCCCCGCCAGGGGAGUGGCAGACGGGUGAGUAACGCGUGGGAACAUACCCUUUUCUACGGAAUAGCUUUGGGAAACUGGAAUUAAUACCGUAUACGCCCUACGGGGGAAAGAUUUAUCGGGGAAGGAUUGGCCCGCGUUGGAUUAGCUAGUUGGUGGGGUAAAGGCCUACCAAGGCGACGAUCCAUAGCUGGUCUGAGAGGAUGAUCAGCCACAUUGGGACUGAGACACGGCCCAAACUCCUACGGGAGGCAGCAGUGGGGAAUAUUGGACAAUGGGCGCAAGCCUGAUCCAGCCAUGCCGCGUGAGUGAUGAAGGCCUUAGGGUUGUAAAGCUCUUUUACCGAUGAAGAUAAUGACGGUAGUCGGAGAAGAAGCCCCGGCUAACUUCGUG